rnacentral:lncRNA from 1 species
AUGAAGACAAAGCCAUUUUCAAACAUUCGAUUGGCGAAAUCUGCACGCUUAGCUAACACUUUCAUUUUCAGAGCUGCCGGUGGCUGUAUGCAGGUCCAGAAAAUCGACUGUGUUUCCUGGUGGAUUCCACCCAGGGAAGAGAGCCCUGGGAAUGCCCAGACACGUUUGUUGGAAGGAAUGGAUGAGUGGCUAACAGGCGAGCCCCCAGGAUGCAAACGCAUUUACCAAUUCACUGGCAGAAAUCUUAGCUGCCUCUUCUGGAAGCCACCAUUCGGCCCAGCCGGGACAGAAAAAGAGCCACUCUCCAUUGUACUGGCCAGGAGGUGUGCAAAUGCAGUUGUGCAGAUGCUUACCGCUGCUGUAAUCCAGCAUGUCCACACCGUAACCAUCAGACCUGGCUGGGUUGGGGCCCUGUCAGAGAGACAGGGAAGCGUCAGAUAGGGAAGGCUGGGAAGAAGGAUGCAGCGGGAGGCCCCCCACAGCCGAGGCUGAAAGGCAUCAUGGACGCUUUGGGCUACCACUUCCAAUGUUUUGCCUAAUGUUUAGGGUAUUCAUGGGGUUUGUGCAAGUGUGUCCACAGGCCCCUGUAGCCAGAACAUGGGACUAGGCUUUCUGAAGACCGUGCAUUCCGGCGCUGACUUUUCCUAUCAAUGGGAGAGACGUGGGCUAUUGACCUAGCGGCCUUCUCUUCUCCAUCUAUUGUCGCGGCUCAAUCACGCACUUACCAGAAGAAAAGCGAGUUUAUCUUAGCCUGGAGGAGCCUCAGGUUGCGUGUGUGUGACUAAAGGGUGGGGGAAGUUCUGCAGCCACGACUCUGCAGAUGGGUUGAGGAUAGACACUUUCAGAAAAGGGCCAAUUUCCCCUUCACAAUGAGCGCUAAGUACGUGAUAAAUGGGGCUGGUGUUUAUUCAUGAGCAGGUACUUGGGAGAUGGCGAUUAGAACGGCCGCCCGCGCCGCCUCGCCAAGGUACUUAAAGCCGGGCAGGUGCAGCGCUGCGCGCAGCCCGAGCGCACAAAGCCCGCGGCCACAGCGGCGUGGGGAGGGGCGUGAGUGCGGGCCGCGCGGGGCCCUGAGGGCGCGCGGCGCGCAGGCACCUUAGCCCUUUGUUCCUCCACCGAAGCCAAGGCCACUUCACCGAGGGGCGUCCCGGAAAACCUCCCCUCUAAUUACAAAGAAUUCCGCUUCGUCCCUCCUCCCAGAGUCCAGCCGGGCAACUCAUGGCCCGGAGGACGCGGGGACUCAGCGUGAGACCAGGCUGGGCAUUUGCGUAAAUGCCGCCUGUAAGCUGGCUCUUAGCUACCCAACUAAGUAACGCAACAACUAGGAAAGCAGCAGAACCCGGGCCUGGGAACAGCGCGGGCACGCGGCUCUAGCCGCCCCCGCCGCCGAGGCGCCACCUCUGGCCGUGCGGGUAACCUCGGGCUUUCAGGUUUUGUUUCAACUCCAAGGGGAGAAAAUUGGGGUCUGUCUCUUUCCACAGCUUCCUGGCGCCAAGGUCGUGGGACAGACCCGAUCUCGCCCUUAGAGUGGCUCCGGAAUCCCUAAGAACCUCCAGCUUUGGCCCACGAUCGGUGGCCCCGGUGUGCGGGGAGAGAGCGCAGCUGGCACGCAGGCCUUGGGGGACCUAGAGCUUGGUCCUCUGCGUGUCUGGACAUUGAGCGGUGGAGUGUUUCCCGCGGGGCAACCUAUGACUCUCAUCCCCCUGGCCUCGUGCCCACCCACCCCACCUAGCCCCACCCCCCCAGCAGCUAGGGUGCUUCGUAUGCGCCAUGUCCAGCGGUCGGCGGUAUAGGUACUCUCGACCUGAUACCUCGGGCUUGUCUGGUUGCCAUUAAAAAUAUAUAUAUAUAUAUAUAUAUAUAUAUAUGUAUGUAUGUAUUUCGAAAACAGAUAAUUCCUCUCCGGUUCGGAGAGGAAAAUCUGUUUCAAACAAGUUGGAUUCCCCGUGGGGAGAAAAUUCUUUUGGCCAUAGAUAAAGGGCAGGGACCUGAGGUGACCCAUCACAAGGCAGUGUUUUCAUUUUUCCACCGAGAAGAGCCGACUGCUCUUCCAUUCAAUGCAGGCUGACCAAGAGAUUACAGAUAUUAACAUCCAUUACAGAUUUUUCUUGGAACUUUGGGGUUAGAAUACACUGCAGAAAGAAUAAUCUCGAUUCCUGGGGAAAUCAGACAUCUGGGAUGUGAGCACAAACCAAAAAUGGUAACCAAGAGGCACAGCAGGAAGACGGGCAGAGGCCAGCUCAGUGCCCAUGACCCUAAACUCGUUGCCACCAGCCAGCCCCCAGCCAAGCGGGACUGAGAGCCAGACACGUUCGAUCGCAGUUAAAAGGGAUCGCUAAAGAAGCAAGGCUCCCCCUUCCGCUGGGACCUGAGUUAGGGUUCGAGGGCGAAGCGUUCUCAUGGGUUAGAGCCUUCAUCCCCAGCUCCAGGGAGACACUGGGGGAUUUCGGGACAGCGGGCGAGCCCCAGAGAGUCCGAGAUGCCAGAUGCGGCCCCUUGCCGCCAGAUGCAGCGUUUCCAAGGCCGUGCAAACAGCCUCACGGCGCC